rnacentral:rRNA from 1 species
GACGAACGCUGGCGGCGUGCUUAACGCAUGCAAGUCGAACGGUAAGGCCCUUCGGGGUACACGAGUGGCGAACGGGUGAGUAACACGUGGGUGAUCUGCCCUGCACUUCGGGAUAAGCCUGGGAAACUGGGUCUAAUACCGGAUAGGACUCCUGGCUUCAUGGUUGGGGGUGGAAAGCUUUUGCGGUGUGGGAUGGGCCCGCGGCCUAUCAGCUUGUUGGUGGGGUAAUGGCCUACCAAGGCGACGACGGGUAGCCGGCCUGAGAGGGUGACCGGUCACACUGGGACUGAGAUACGGCCCAGACUCCUACGGGAGGCAGCAGUGGGGAAUAUUGCACAAUGGGCGCAAGCCUGAUGCAGCGACGCCGCGUGAGGGAUGACGGCCUUCGGGUUGUAAACCUCUUUCAGCACCGACGAAGCGCAAGUGACGGUAGGUGCAGAAGAAGGACCGGCCAACUACGUGCCAGCAGCCGCGGUAA